rnacentral:rRNA from 1 species
AUGGCCCCAGCGCAGCAAGCCUCGCCACCCCCGAUUCUCACCGUCCUCGCCACCACUCUCGUAGCGCCCUCGCCCAGCGCCGGCGCCGCCCCGCCGGAGUCCUCCCUCCCGCUCACCUUCUUCGACGUCUUCUGGCUCAACCUCCCACCCGUCGAGCGUGUCUUCUUCUACCGCCUCGCCGCCGACGCCGACAUCCCCACCAUCCUCUCCAACCUCAAGACCUCGCUGGCCAAAGCUCUCAGCGCCUACUACCCGCUCGCCGGCCGCCUCCGCCUCACGCCCGGGACGGCUGACCGCUACGAGAUCCACUACCAGCCGGGCGACGCCGUCACCUUCACCGUCGCCGAGUACCAUGGUGAUGUUGACGUCGACGAGCUGGCCGUCGACCGGCCGAGGGAGAUCACCAGGAUCGCACCGCUCGCACCGCCACUGCCGAAGGGCGGCGCGGUGCUCGCGCUGCAGGCCACCGUGAUGCGCCGUGGCCUCGCCAUCGGCAUGGCCGUGCACCACGCCGCCUGCGACGGGGCGACCUCCACGCGCUUCCUGCACGCCUGGGCGGCGGCCAGCACCGGCGCUAUUGAGCCACCACGCCCUGUCAUCGACAGAACUCUCGUGAAGGACCCAACGGGUCUCUACGACGUCUUCGUGAAAGCCAAGCCGACCGCCGGCGAGAUGGAUCGCGUCAAGACGUGGGAGCACCGACUCCUCGCCACGUUCACGCUGUCGAAUGAAGACAUACAACGCGUCAAGGACGUGAUAGCAAGCGAAGCGGAGCGGCGAGGCGCGCCGCCGCCGCGCUGCUCCUCGUUGGUAGCCACCUUCGGCUUCAUGUGGUCAUGCCACCAGCGAGCCAAAGACGAUGUAGGAAGCACCGGCGGCGACCCCACAUACUUGCUCUUCCCCGUCGACCACCGCUCACGGAUGAAGCCCCCCGUCCCGGACGAGUACCUCGCCCCCGCGCCGCCGUUGCCUCGCCGACCCCGCCGGCCAUGCCAUCCCGCCGCCGCCUGA